AUGCGGAGGGUGCAAGCGUUGUUCGGAAUUACUGGGCGUAAAGCGCGCGUAGGUGGUCUGUUAUGUCAGAUGUGAAAGUCCACGGCUCAACCGUGGAAGUGCAUUUGAAACUGGCAGACUUGAGUACUGGAGGGGGUAGUGGAAUUCCCGGUGUAGAGGUGAAAUUCGUAGAUAUCGGGAGGAAUACCGGUGGCGAAGGCGACUACCUGGCCAGAUACUGACACUGAGGUGCGAAAGUGUGGGGAGCGAACAGGAUUAGAAACCCUAGUAGUCC
rnacentral:rRNA from 1 species